AACGAACGCUGGCGGCAUGCCUAACACAUGCAAGUCGAACGAGACCUUCGGGUCUAGUGGCGCACGGGUGCGUAACGCGUGGGAACCUGCCCUUGGGUUCGGAAUAACUCCCCGAAAGGGGUGCUAAUACCGGAUAAUGUCUUCGGACCAAAGAUUUAUCGCCUUUGGAUGGGCCCGCGUUGGAUUAGCUAGUUGGUAGGGUAAAAGCCUACCAAGGCGACGAUCCAUAGCUGGUCUGAGAGGAUGAUCAGCCACAUUGGGACUGAGACACGGCCCAGACUCCUACGGGAGGGAGCAGUGGGGAAUAUUGGACAAUGGGCGAAAGCCUGAUCCAGCAAUGCCGCGUGAGUGAUGAAGGCCUUAGGGUUGUAAAGCUCUUUUACCCGGGAUGAUAAUGACAGUACCGGGAGAAUAAGCUCCGGCUAACUCCGUG
rnacentral:rRNA from 1 species